ensembl:lncRNA
CGUGCUCCCUUGGCCGCAUGCUUUUAUGGUGAGGAAUAAACAGAGCCUUCCCUCCUCGAGCUCCCGGCAGUGCCCUCUCUGGGAAACGGCUUUCCAUGUCCGUGCCGCUCCGCCUCGCUGAGCCCGAGCCGGGAGGAUCUGUAGCAUCCAACAUCGUUGGCCCAAAACGCGGCGUGUCCAAUUAUUCGCCUGGAUGAUGGGGAGCUCCCGGGAGAAGCCCAACGACAACAGCAAAGUGAGGAAAUCAGUGUGCUGUGGGGCGGUGGGACCCCCAUGCUGGUGUCUGUGGCACAGUGUGGGGCUGAGCAGUCACAGAACUGCAGAAUCGGGAAGGCUGGGAAGAUCUCUGAGAACCCCAAGCCCACCCCACAGUGCCCACUGGCUGUGCUCUCAGUGCUGCAUCUCCACCGUUCAGGUACACCUCCAGGAAGCCCCUGGGUGCUGCUGUGCCGUGGGUCUCACCACACCUCAGAGCUUCUCAUCCCUCCUGCUGCUCUGUCCAAGGCCACAGGGUGGGUGUCGGGUGGUACCGAGAGCCUCCAUGUCCUGCUUUGGGGAGUUGGUAUCCACAGCCUUCAAGAACAGGCUGGCUACCAGAUGGGUGAACCAAAUAAGCCUCCAACAUUUAUCUGAGAGUUCGACGUUUUCCUGUGUUGUUAACCGCAGAGGAAACUAGGUGGUUUGCAGCCACGCUGAGCCGCUGCCAGCCCCCAGCCUUCGAAUAUUUUCACAGGGAGGGGGAGGAGGGAGGGGGCUUUUUCCUCCAAGCCAGAUGGCCGUAUGGAAUCAAUAAAAGUCCGUUUCAAAAGUUUGUUUACUUAACAUUGAAUAUAAUAUGCCUUUGUGGUCCCUUUGCACUGCACAAAAAUGUGAUCCAGCACCGAGCUAAUGAGGAGAGCGCUGCGGAGGACAUCGCUGCACCGGUCGUUGCCUUUUGCACCCACCUCGUGGGCUCUGUGGGGGCUUUUAGGGCUUGUAGGGCUGUGGGGCAGCAGGGACUCUUUCUUUCUUGCUGGAGCUCUGGAUGGUGGUACUUGGGCUGUGAGGAUGUCAGCUGGAUGUUGGGUGUUGGAAAUCAGAUGUUGGAUGUUGGUAGUCAGAUGUCGGAAGUCAGAUGUUGGAUAUUGGAUGCUGGGUGUUGAAAGUUGGAUGUUGGAAGUUGGGUGUUGGAAGUCAGGUGUUGGGUAUUGGUAGUUGGAUGUUGGAAGUUGGGUGUUGGAAUUCAGGUGUUGGGUAUUGGUAGUUGGAUGUUGGAAGUCAGGUGUCGGAUAUUGGAAGCUGGGUGUUGGAAGUCAGAUGUUGGAUAUUGGAUAUUGGAAGUUGGGUGUUGGAAAUUGAGUGUUGGAAGUUGAAUGUCAGAAGUUGGAUGUUAGAUGCUGGGUGUUGGAACUUGGAUGUUGAUUGGGUGCAGCCCCUAAAACCUGUGCAGGAGGAAGGCUCAGCAUGUGUGAAAUAUCUGAAACCUUGUAAGGUAUUCAUCUUGUGCUGUAAUUAUUUUUAAACAUCCCAAAUUAUAUGAGUAGUACAGGGAAAACAAUGUCGGCUUGUCUUUAAAACACAGCCUUUCAUUACGGAAAUCUGUCAUCUGUUAAUUCAUUAGAGCCCCGACAGAAAGAGCUGAGAUCAAAACUAUUUUAAAUGAUUCCUGAUGACACACAAUGGCAAAUUUCAGCCAUUAUUCCGGAAAUGUAACCAUCAUUCUUUCUGCUGGAUUCAACAAGGGUCCUUCCUCUGAUAUUAAUUGACUUCUAAGUAGUUGCACAUGUUGUUGUUGUGUUAUUGCUCAGAUCUCUUUCUGAAGUGCGUGGCGAUGUGAGCAAGAAGCCUUGGGCUCCUCAGAUCUCUCUGUCAGACCCACACAGCACUGAGCUCUUAGCACUGGGAACCAGGGGAUCACCAAGCUCUGGGCUCUGCUGCCUUCACCUGCUUUAGUGAGCGGGGGGCAGUUAGCCUCCAUGAGAAAAAGAAUAAAAAACACCACACAUCUGUUUUGUUUUUCUGUUGGUUUUUUUCUUUCUUUCUUUCCUUUUUUUUUUUUUUUCCCUGAAGAUCCAAGGCAGAAUUUCAAAGCAAAUUCCAAAUCUUAUUUUGCUGCCUUUGUUUCCACGACAUCUCUGCGGGCGCAGCUGUCUGCACUGCUCAUGGAGCCAUCCAAGAGCCCGCAUGGCAAACGCAGACCCAAGGUGCUGGGACAGGCUCUGUGCUGUUAAUGAAUUUAUUUGUUAAUGGCAUUAUUGCCACUCAAAGCAAGCUGCAGAAUCUGUGGAGUAUUUGCCAUUUGCAUUGUUUUCCCUUUGCAUUUCAGGCUUGGCUGGGGCAGCGCAGGUGCUGGUGGCCUCGUGAUGCUGGAAAGCCAUGUUCAUCCUCCUUGGUCUUUGUGGCUCAGCUGGUGCUGUGUGGGUAAUGCCUCACAUCUGCUGUGUGCACAGCACAACAUGGUCCUGGGAACCUGAAAGACGUGGAAGAAAACCAAGUCCUGUCCUUCAUGCAGCUUCUGCCACAAGGUCUCGUUGGCUUUGUAACAAGGCACAGAACGACCUGAUGAUGGGAAGGAUGUACAGAUGCUUCUCAGUUGGGCACUGUGUGGCUCUGAGCGCUCACCUCGAGCUGCUGGCUCUGCCCCCAGGUGCUCCCCCGUUGGCAGGAGGGAUGCUGCUGCUCCUGUCACAGCUGUCCCCUUAUGGCUGCAGAACCCUUGCUCGGGGCUCCUGAUACCCAGGGCUGGUCCAGGUGCUCCUGGAGUCCGGCCAGCUGUGAUAAAUCUCCUUAAUUGCAGCUCAUUGUAAUUAUGCUUUAUAUGGAGCUGAUGCUAUUACUGCUGGGUGCUUUGGCCUGAUCAAUCCUAAGCAGGAGAUCUCUAGCCCUCCUUGGGGGCUGGGGACAUUGAGCUCCAGGGUUUGCUGGGGCUGGUGGAGCUGGCUUUCAGCCCUGUGCUGCAAUGGGCAGAGUGCAGGAGCAAAGGUAGUGGGGAGAUGGCCAUCCGUACCUCACUUCAUUUUGGUACUGUCCACCCAAGAACCUGUCUGGUGCGUGUGCAGAACCUUCAGCAUUAAUGACCCUCUGAAAGGUAAGCAAUCAGAGAAUCAUUACGGUUGGAAAUGGCAUCUGAGAUCCCCACCCCACCAUGCCCACUGACCACAUCCCUCGGUGCCACAUCUCUAUGUUCCCUGAGCAUCCCCAGGGAUGGAGACCUCCACCGCUCCCUGGGCACCCUGUGCUGGUGCAUUACAGCUCUUCAGAGAAGAAAUGUUUCCAGAUGUCCAGCCUGAUCCUCUCCUGGUGCAAUGUGGGACCAUCACCUCUCAUCCUAUCAACACCACUGCCAUCUCCAGCCCUUCUCUAAGCGCUCCAUGCAUCCACAGCGGGUAUUGAGGUCACGUUUUGGGCACGCAGCCCCAUUUGCUGAGGGGUGAGGUGAGUGUCGUGAGUCAGAAUGAGUUUUCCCAUAGGAAAUGCCCCACGGUCUCUUCCCACCCAGCAGCGGGCGCUCCCGACCCGGGGUGCUCCAUGGAUCAUGGCACGGCUCCAUCUGGCUGAUCCCAAGGAAUGCCCGGGCGCAGCCGCAGCUCCGGGGGAUUAAACUGAAGUCUAACGUUACACCCCUUGGAAGAGCAGAGCUUUACUUGGAAACCGAAUCGCAUUAAUUAGCAUUCUGCUAAUGGCUGUUUUGUAUAAAUAUAGUGUGCCUUAAUACCAACACGAGUCGCAGGUUGACAUAUUUAGAUCGCUGAUAUCAAAGUCAUUAACGCCUCUCCGUGGUAAACCUAUUCUCAGUUCGGGCUGCAAAUGGGAUUCUCCUGAGCCAAUCAAUCUUCCUAAAGCCUGAGCAGAGCCUGUUGAUCUUUAGCCACUGAAUGGAUGCAGCUUCCCAGAAAUGUGCUUGCAUCUGUCAGAAUUAUAAGCAGCUGGCAGCCCCAGACAGGGGUCAUAUUUGCCGUGAGUGUGAAAAUAGGAUCCCAGGACAAGAAAUGCUACUUAGCAGCGUAUCGAUUCUGGGCGUGCUAUUAAUGUUGCAGCACAAUGCGUGUGUGUGUCCGUGCAGGCACUCCUGCACAUGCCAAUUAUGUAUUUAUACGCAAGGUCUCCUCUCACACAGACCCCGUGGUCCUGGAGCUGAUCCAGGGCUUAUUAAAACUUGGUGACAUCAAAGGAUGGGAAAGGUCUGCCCGAGCUGAGGAACUCGGAGAGCUUAACAAUUAUUUUGCCUUAAUUCCCUCCUAAUUUAUCGUCUUUUUAUUGCCCUGAUUAAAAGCUCCCCUGUUUGAUAGCGGCACCGAAGGUAAUGGCGUUCUUCCGAGACUGAUGGGUGGCAAUUCCAGCAGGGGCUGCUGCCAUCUGUGGGGCACUGCUGUGGGUUUCUGUCACAGCGUUGCCACCACAGCCACACUGCCAGCGCAGUGCCAUCCCUGUGCUGCUCUGUGUGCCAGGCUGUGCGCUCAGCAUCGUGGCUCCUCAUGGCGCAGCCCCACAGCUCGACCCGGUGCUCAUCGCAGUGCUGUUCCGUGCUGGUUAUUAUUAGAUGGCAGUGACACGGAUCAAAGCACGUAAGCCCAACUUCUGAAGCACGCAACCACCAACCUCGUCCAGGAGAUCUUGCUCAUUGCUGCAGCUUAGGGCCAAGCGUUUUAGCUUGAGCGUUUUCAGCCUUGGAUUACAAAUUGCAACACUUCUGAAGUCUGUGGGACUCAGCGCCUUCAGUUUCCAUGCUGGGGAUGGUGAAGGGAUACUCCUGCAUCUGUUCCAUGAGAUUGCCAAGCAGCACAAUGGGAAACAUGCUGGGCAACAAAUGGGAAUGGGCCGGCAGCAGUGAGAGCUGACUUUGUCAGUGGAGUUUUUUGGUGUUAUUUUUCUAAUUUUUUUCUUUUUCUUUGGUUGGGAGGACAUAAUAACACCUGUGCUUGGCUGAUGGAUGUUAAAUAAUGCUCCUUUCCUGGAUUGAGGCAGACGGCAUGUAACACUGAGGUCUGUGUGCUGCACUGAUUACCCUGAGCCCCUGUUUGGGUUGUCUGGGGCUGAGCUGCUCUCCCUGGAGCUCUGGAGCGGCUGCAGUUCACCAUCGGAAGUUUCUAGAAUUGGACCCAUCAGUAAAGGUAUUGCACAAAAAUGAGCGUGAGGCAAGAGAGCGGUCAGGGUGUGGGAAAUACACUUGGUAUGAAUGACUGUGAGUAUGGACUGAUGCUCCCAGGCGUCAUCACAUGCUCACUGCUGCCUGUCCUCACCCAUCUGCACCGUGUGCGUCUUCAGCUGCAACUGGGCUGCUUGCUUAUCAUACCCAGGUGCCUGCCAAAUGGGAAAGCUGUCUUCAAAAAGAUAUAAGCGGGGAUGAUUCUUAUGCCAUUAUUGCUCAGGGUCUGCUGAAUGCUUGCAGGGCAAAGCAGUGCAUCCUUGAGAAUGUCUGAAAUGCUGCGUUAUAGGCGCACCAGUUGCAAAAUAGAUUUAAAUUACGUCGAGCAACAUGCUGCGGAAUUUAUGCUUCCAAUUUCUCCAUUUAGUGGUGAAUCAGGCUUGUUUGCAUUGCCAGCUAAUCUUUCUGCCAGAGUUGUUAAUGUGCUCUGACCCCUCUUUAACUCUGCAUGCUGAGCUUGCCAUUCAGCUUUUCUCUCUUAGCAGUGAAUCAGCCACAUGUGCCGGAGCCCCACUGCACAGCCCCUGUGGGCUGGAGGUGGCCUUGAGUGGCUUUUCCUGGUGAGACUCUGAGAUUUCAUUUGCUUGCAAGAAACCUGAGUUCUCUAGACGUUGCACCUUGCUUUCUCUGGAAGGCUUCCAGCAUUCAUUCUUGACAGGGAGCCAGCUCAGGCUGCCGUCCUGCUGCUGGAGGGCACUCCCAGCCUGGUGCUGUUGGGAAGCCCUGCUGCUCCCACACCAGCACGGUGCUUUUUGCACUGAGCGUGGCCCAAGUUGCAACUACAGCCCGUGACUCAUUUGCUCAGUGCUUGCCAAGGCUGCUGAGUGGCUCCUGCUGCUCCCAGGGUGCCUCCCGUGCCCUGUAGGCUGCUGCUGCAUCUCCCUUCAUGUUCUGCUGGCACCACAGAUGUCUGUGUACUGCACCUCCUUAAAAUGAUAGAAUCAUUCUGGUCGGAGAAGACCUCUGGGAUCCCCAGCCCAUCCCACCAAGCCCACUGACCAUACAUCCCUCAGUGCCCCACCUCCAUGCUCCCUGGGCACCCCCAGGAAUGGUGACCCCACCACUCCCUGGGCAGCCUGUCCUGGUGUGUUUCAGCUCUUUUGGAAAAUAAAUGUCCCCUAAUAUCCAACCUGAGCUCCCCUGGCACCACUUAAGGCCAUUCCCUAGACAUAAAACCCGAGAACCUUUAGGACCUCUAAGAUCAUCAGGUCCAACCAACCAACCCACCACCAUGACCACUCAUCCAAGUAUUUCUUUAGGGAGGAUGUAGGAUGCUGUAGAAGUGCUGUUCCCAGUGCCCAGCGUCUACUCAGGGCUCCCAUGUGUCUGAAGCAUAGCCAACCCGCCACUAAUGCCCCCUCCUCAGCUGGCGCUAUGGUGCAGUCCCACGUAGAGUAUGCCAAUGGGGAAUCCCUCCACGGUGCACUGAGGGCACACUGCCCCCGAUGCACCCGCACGCACGCAGCCUGCAAAAUCGAAUAACAACCAGUUUAAAAACAUACUAAAACCAGAAAAUUUAUGUAGCAUGACCCAAAUUGAAUUAUACAUUACAGCACUGUAAUUGAUUUUUUAGAAGAGAGAUUAAAUUUAUUUUAUGCCUCACUAACUAACAGCUAGAUUUACCUAAUUGCUUAGAGUGCAGAGUUAGUAUGAUUCAUUAAACCCCAUACAUGCCUGGGUACAUUACACUGUGACUAAAGCUUCCCUGCUUCGAGCAAUUAAAGUGGAGAAACUUGGGGCCUCAUAAGUAAUUGAAUAUAACAAUACGGCUUGGAGUUGCUGUGGAUGUCUUAUUAAGUUCUUCAAGCAAAAAGACACACGUUCCCUCUGUUCUCCAGUGAAUCAUUUUGUGAGAUUCUCUAUGACUGGUGUUGUUUUCUCCUAUUGCCAAAAAAUAAAAUAAAAUAAAAUAAAAAAUGGUAUCUACGAG